AGCCACCAAGAGUUUUUGUUCCUGCAUCUUUUUCCUAACGUUUUGGGUUUGUCUAGAUCACGGUACACAUCAUACACCAUUUCAUCUUCUGAUCUGUUGGUGCCUUGCUGCUGUUGGCCGAAUCGACGAGGAGUCUUUUCGGAGCCAGUUGAAUCCUGAGAUCAAACUUGAGGUUCAUGGACUUAUGUUGAAUCUUAAAGAAGCUCGGGGAGCAUCGCAAGCUGGCGAGUAUAGGUAACGCUUGCGGGUAGAAUCAAGCUCAACAUUUAUGGAUGUUGGCACCAACUCAACAGAAAUGCAAGCUUUGGAGGACUAUUCAGAGAUGAAUGAGGAGAAAGGAUUCUGGGAUAUUAUGGAAAAGCCGCAUGCGAGUCCAGCCUGGAAGCGGAAAUUUGGGAACUCUAUAGAGGUCUGACUAUAAUCCUGGAGAAAGGGAUAUUGACAGUAAUUGUGACUAAUCUGACUCGCAAGUGGCCUUGAAUCUACUUAACGAAGGCAAUGCAAACAACCAUUCACAGAGACUCAGAGAGAGAUGAUCAAGGAUGCUCAUGCUAUUCUAAACAGAACAAAGUCUACUUUGCAUCACAUAUUUCGGCAGGCAAAUCAAUGUGCCAAUCACAUAGCAAGAGUUGGAGCCGAACAACAAGAAGACCUGGUGGUGUUAACGGAUCAGCCACUUUCAAUGAGGGAAUUUUGGAUUAGGGAGCGUCUUAACUUAAGGCAGAUAAUAGACUAGGGUAUUGCCCGUGGCUUUUGUUUUGGACUGUAACACUUUAAACAUGUCUGAUACUCUGUUACGUUUUUCGUCCUUCGCCUAGUUAUAUAAUAUU